rnacentral:rRNA from 1 species
CAAUAGCAUAUAUUAAAGUUGUUGCAGUUAAAAAGCUCGUAGUUGGAUUUCGGGUGGGACGCAGCGGUCUCGCAUUGCGUUUGUACUGCUGCAGCCCUCCUUCUUGCCGGGGGCGGCCUCUCGGACUUCACUGUCUGGGGGUCAGAAUCGGCGAUGUUACUUUGAGUAAAUUAGAGUGUUCAAAGCAAGCUUACGCUCUGAAUAUAAUAGCAUGGGAUAACACGACAGGACUCUGGCCUAUCGUGUUGGUCUAUAGGACCAGAGUAAUGAUUAAGAGGGACAGUCGGGGGCAUUCGUAUUCCGUUGUCAGAGGUGAAAUUCUUGGAUUUACGGAAGACGAACAUCUGCGAAAGCAUUUGCCAAGGAUGUUUUCAUUGA